rnacentral:rRNA from 1 species
UUGAUCCUGGCUCAGAACGAACGCUGGCGGCAGGCCUAACACAUGCAAGUCGAGCGAACCCUUCGGGGUUAGCGGCGGACGGGUGAGUAACGCGUGGGAACGUGCCCUUUGCUACGGAAUAGCCCCGGGAAACUGGGAGUAAUACCGUAUGUGCCCUUCGGGGGAAAGAUUUAUCGGCAAAGGAUCGGCCCGCGUUGGAUUAGGUAGUUGGUGGGGUAAUGGCCUACCAAGCCGACGAUCCAUAGCUGGUUUGAGAGGAUGAUCAGCCACACUGGGACUGAGACACGGCCCAGACUCCUACGGGAGGCAGCAGUGGGGAAUCUUAGACAAUGGGCGCAAGCCUGAUCUAGCCAUGCCGCGUGAUCGAUGAAGGCCUUAGGGUUGUAAAGAUCUUUCAGUGGGGAAGAUAAUGACUGUACCCACAGAAGAAGCCCCGGCUAACUCCGUG